rnacentral:tRNA from 1 species
AAUUAAUGAACUUGUUAUAAGUGUAUAUUUUGAAAAUAUAAAAAAGAAGUAAAACCUUCUAUUAAUUU